ACUCCUACGGGAGGCAGCAGUAAGGAAUAUUGGGCAAUGGACGCAAGUCUGACCCAGCCAUGCCGCGUGAAGGAUGAAUGUCCUAUGGAUUGUAAACUUCUUUUGUGCAGGAAAAACCCCUCGGUUUCGUACCGGGGCUGAUUGUACUGUACGAAUAAGCACCGGCUAACUCCGUGCCAGCAGCCGCGGUAAUACGGAGGAUGCAAGCGUUAUCCGGAUUCAUUGGGUUUAAAGGGUGCGCAGGCGGAGUGAUAAGUCAGUGGUGAAAUCUCCCGGCUCAACCGGGAAACUGCCGUUGAUACUGUCAUUCUUGAGUACAGUUGAAGUGGGCGGAAUGUGUCAUGUAGCGGUGAAAUGCUUAGAUAUGACACAGAACACCGAUAGCGAAGGCAGCUCACUAAGCUGUAACUGACGCUCAUGCACGAAAGCGUGGGGAUCAAACAGGAUUAGAUACCCUGGUAGUC
rnacentral:rRNA from 1 species